rnacentral:tRNA from 1 species
GGCCGUGUAGCUCAGUCGGUAGAGCACCUGCCUGCGAAUGCAGAGCGGGAGGUCGCGGGUUCGAUCCCCGCCCUGGCCCCA